rnacentral:rRNA from 1 species
AUUGAACGCUGGCGGCAGGCCUAACACAUGCAAGUCGAGCGGAGCGGCGGACGGGUGAGUAAUGCCUAGGUAUCUGCCCGGUCGUGGGGGAUAACGUCCGGAAACGGGCGCUAAUCCCGCAUACUAUCAGAUGAGCCUAGGUCGGAUUCGCUAGUGGGUGGGGUAAAGGCCUACCAAGGCGACCAUCCGUAACUGGCCGGAGAGGAUGAUCAGUCAAACUGGAACGGAGAAAGGGCCCAGACUCCUACGGGAGGCAGCGGUGGGGAAUUUGGGAAAAUGAGCGAAGGCCUGAGGCGGCAAGGCGGGGUGUGGGAAGAGGGUUUUCGGAUGGUAAAGUACGUUAAGUGGGAAGGCGUUAACAACAGAGAAAGCACCGGCUAACUUCGUGCCAGCAGCCGCGGUAAUAC